rnacentral:rRNA from 1 species
GAUGAACGCUGGCGGCGUGCCUAAUACAUGCAAGUCGAACGCUUCUACCCUAAGGAGUGCUUGCUCUCAAUUGCGAAGGGCAGUGGCGUACGGGUUAGUAACACGUCGUCAACCUACCCAUCAGAGGCGGAUAACACUUGGAAAUAGGUGCUAAUACCUCAUAACAGUUUAUGCCGCAUGGCAUAAGAGUGAUAGGGGCUUUCUGGUGUCGCUGCUGGAUGGAUCCGCGGUGCAUUAGCUAGUUGGUGAGGUAACGGCUCACCAAGGCCACGAUGCAUAGCCGACCUGAGAGGGUGAUCGGCCACACUGGAACUGAGACACGGCCCAGACUCCUACGGGAGGCAGCAGUAGGGAAUCUUCGGCAAUGGGCGAAAGCCUGACCGAGCAACGCCGCGUGAGUGAAGAAGGUUUUCGGAUCGUAAAACUCUGUUGUUGGGGAAGAACAAGGGCGUUAGUAACUGAACGUCUCCUGACGGUACCUAACCAGAAAGACACGGCUAACUACGUG